rnacentral:rRNA from 1 species
CAGCAGCCGCGGUAAAACAGAGGGUGCGAGCGUUAAUCGGAUUUACUGGGCGUAAAGCGUGCGUAGGCGGCUUUUUAAGUCGGAUGUGAAAUCCCUGAGCUUAACUUAGGAAUUGCAUUCGAUACUGGGAAGCUAGAGUAUGGGAGAGGAUGGUAGAAUUCCAGGUGUAGCGGUGAAAUGCGUAGAGAUCUGGAGGAAUACCGAUGGCGAAGGCAGCCAUCUAGCCUAAUACUGACGCUGAGGUACGAAAGCAUGGGGAGCAAACAGGAUUAGAUACCCGCGUAGUCCCUGUCUCUUAUAC